CCACUGCCAACCCCUCGACUGCUCUCUUUAGACCCCAUCAUGGACUUAUCAUCAUCCUCCAACCUCUCUUUGGGAUUUUCAUCCCACGCGCCGCCGUCGUCUCUCGACUCCGCCACCCACCCCGCACCUCCAUCAAUCCCGCUUCAAUUGCUCGAGCCGCAACCCGAGAGCCACACACCAACCACAGGUAACGACGAAAUCGGAGACGACGAGGAGGAGUUCCGGAUAUUGGGGCAUUCCAUGUGCUUGAAACGCCGCCGUGACAGAGAAUCCUCCUCCUCCUCUUCCUCCACUAAUUCCAAACGCCAACCUCCGCCGGACCUCGACGCCCGGAGGACAGUUGUCCGGGCCUGGGGCGACCAGCCUCUCCGAAUCGCCGACUCCGAUGUGUUCGAGAUUAUGGACAAGGAGAAGCAGAGGCAGUUCAAAGGGAUUGAACUCAUCGCCUCCGAGAAUUUCGUGUGCCGGGCAGUGAUGGAAGCCCUUGGAAGCCACUUGACCAACAAAUACUCGGAGGGAAUGCCCGGGGCGAGGUACUACGGCAGCAACCAGUACAUUGAUGAGAUCGAAACGCUUUGCUGUAACCGUGCCUUAGCUGCGUUCGGUCUUGAGUCGCAGAAUUGGGGUGUCAAUGUGCAGCCUUAUUCAUGCACAUCAGCCAAUUUCGCAGUGUACACCGGAUUGUUAUUGCCAGGUGAUAGAAUAAUGGCAUUGGAUACCCCAUCCGGAGGGAACACUAGCCAUGGAUAUUAUACUAGCAAUGGGAGGAAAGUUUCUGGAGCAUCCAUUUUCUUCGAGACAUUGCCCUAUAAGGUCAAUUUACAAACUGGAUAUAUUGAUUAUGAUAAGCUUGAGGAGAGGGCGCUUGAUUUUCGGCCCAAGAUACUUAUUUGUGGUGGUAGCUCGUAUCCCCGCGAAUGGGAUUAUGCAAGGUUUCGGCAGAUUGCUGAUAAAUGUGGAGCUGUGCUGCUGUGUGAUAUGGCGUAAAUUAGUGGCCUUAUUGCAGCCAAGGAAUGUGUAAAUCCUUUUGACUACUGUGACAUUGUUACUUCAACCACUCAUAAAAGCCUUCGGGGUCCCAGGGGAGGUAUAAUUUUUUAUAGGAAGGGUACAAAACCAAAGAAGAGGGGAUUUCUUUUAACUCAAGGAUGUGAAAGCGACCACUACGAUUUUGAGGAAAAGAUCAACUUUGCCGUUUUUCCAUCAUUGCAAGGUGGACCACACAAUAACCACAUCGCUGCUCUUGCCAUAGCUUUAAAGCAAGUGGCUACACCUGAAUACAAGGCAUAUAUGCAGCAAGUGAAGAAAAAUGCACAGGCUUUAGCAUCAUCUUUGCUGGGAAGAAAGUGCAGGCUAGUUACUGGUGGCACAGACAACCAUUUGCUACUCUGGGAUCUGAGGCCCCUAGGAUUAUCAGGCAAGAACUACGAGAAGGUAUGUGAAAUGUGUCACAUUACUGUCAACAAGAUCACCAUUUUUGGUGAUAAUGGAACUAUUACUCCUGGAGGAGUGAGGAUUGGUACCCCUGCUAUGACUUCAAGAGGUUGUUUGGAGGUGGAUUUUGAGACAAUUGCAGAUUUUCUCCUCAGAGCAGCACAAAUUGCGUCUGUAGUGCAAAGAGAGCAUGGGAAGUUGCAAAAGCCUUUUUUGAAGGGUCUUGAGAGCAAUAAGGAUAUUGUUGAGCUUAGGACCAGAGUUGAAAACUUUGCUUCUCAAUUUGCAAUGCCAGGAUAUGAUAUUUGAAUCGAGUAUGAGUGCCAGUUUCUGAAAUCUGAACGUCUGUCCUGGUACGGACAUCCCGGAGCAUGUCAUGUGAG